rnacentral:rRNA from 1 species
UACGUAGGGUGCAAGCGUUGUCCGGAUUUACUGGGCGUAAAGAGCGCGCAGGCGGUCGUUCAAGUCGAGUGUGAAAGCCCCCGGCUCAACUGGGGAGGGUCACUCGAUACUGAUCGACUCGAAGGCAGGAGAGGGAAGUGGAAUUCCCAGUGUAGUGGUGAAAUGCGUAGAUAUCGGGAGGAACACCAGUGGCGAAGGCGACUUCCUGGCCUGUUCUUGACGCUGAGGCGCGAAAGCGUGGGGAGCAAACGGG